GAGUUCUGAUGGGAUCCGGUGCAU
rnacentral:siRNA from 1 species